rnacentral:tRNA from 1 species
GCCCGGGUGGUGGAACUGGUAGACACGUACGUUUGAGGGGCGUAUGGCGAAAGCUGUGCGGGUUCGAAUCCCGCCCCGGGCA